GUUAAAAAGCUCGUAGUUGGAUUUCGGAACCGGCCGAUUGGUCCGUCCUCUGGAUCGUGUACUGAUCGGUCUGUUCUUCUUCGCGAAGACCGCGUGUGCUCUUAACUGAGUGGGCGUGGGAUUCGCGACGUUUACUUUGAAAAAAUUAGAGUGUUCAAAGCAGGCAGUCGCUUGAAUAUCUCAGCAUGGAAUAAUAGAAUAGGACUUUGGUCUUAUUUUGUUGGUUUCCGAGACCGAAGUAAUGAUUAAUAGGGACAGUUGGGGGCAUUCGUAUUUCAUUGUCAGAGGUGAAAUUCUUGGAUUUAUGAAAGACGAACUUCUGCGAAAGCAUUUGCCAAGGAUGUUUUCAUUAAUCAAGAACGAAAGUUGGAGGCUCGAAGACGAUCAGAUACCGUCCUAGUUCCAACCAUAAACGAUGCCGUCUGCGGAUCGGAGGUCGCUCAUGUAAGGCUCCUUCGGCACGCUAUGAGAAAUCAAAGACUUCGGGUUCCGGGGGGAGUAUGUUCGCAAGAAUGAAACUUGAAGGAAUUGACGGAAGGGCACCACCAGGAGUGGAACCUGCGGUUUAAUUUGACUCAACACGGGAAAACUCACCAGGUCCAGACAUA
rnacentral:rRNA from 1 species